UGGAAGCAUUAGAAGAAUUACGUAUGAGAAGGGAAGCAGAAAUUCAACAUGAAGAGCAGAUUGGUAAAAUUAUUGUGGAGACACAAGAACUGAAAUGGCAAAAGAUACUACCAGCAUUAACAGAGUUGCUGACACUUUGAAUAACUCGACUAUCCAUCCAGAUCCCAAGGGAGAGCCCAGUGAAGAGAGGAAUGCAAUUGCAAAAACUUUUUAUGAUUCUUCUUUUCCCACAGAACAUGUAAGUCAAUUAAAAAUAUUGCCAAGCAGACCUCAGUGAGCUAAUUCUACAGAUAUGUGUAGAACUGUAUGCAUCUGGAUGCUUUAAGACCCAACUGAUCUCCAAAAUAAUAUCAAGAGGGCAACAUGGCACCAUUUUUCACAAUUAAGGUUGAUAGAAAACAGCAGGAAAAAGUCACAGUGUAUAAAUCAAAUAGAUAUAAUCCAGCCUGUUCUGGGAAGGAGAGUGUGAGGUAGUGUAUUAUAUACUUCUAUUUUUCAGUCACCUAAAUUUAGGAAUAGUGCCAUUUAAGCAUUUAUUUGAACUUAAAAAAAAAAAGUUCACCAGUUUGAGCAUUUAAAAAUUUAUUUUAAUAAAGGUUUCCUUAAAUAAUCUAAUCAUGUACAUUCGUUUUUACUAGUGCUUAAGGUACUUGACAUUUUGAGAAACUGACUCUGAAAGGAAGAAGUGUAUCUUUUAAUUAUUUCAAUUAGAACACAGUAUAUGAAAGGAUCAAAUAUUCAUGACUGUAUCAAGUAUGGAUGUAAAUAUUAAGCAAAGUAUUUGUAGAGAUUAUAUGGCUCCAAGAGUCCAUUUGUCGCAUCAAAAGCAACUAACUACAGCUGACAGAUUUUUUUUUUUGGUAAAAUGUGUAAGUUUUUUUAUCUUAGUGUGUAAAACUUUAGUGCAAAAAAGGCUGUGUUGUUCAAAGUCUAAAAAACAAGACAGUUAUAGGUAUAACUGCUAAAAGUAACCUAAAAAGGUUAGGAAAAUUUACUUAUUUUAAAAAACUGCAGUGACACAUUUUAAAAUUACCGUAUAUUUUAAAUUUUAGAGAUGCACGUUAAACAACUUUGCCUUUUGCACAUAUAAAAUGAAAAUUAUAGGACUAACACAGCCUUAACAUGUAACAGCUUUUAACCAUAUAUUUCAUUUUCCUUUUCAAAUACGAGAAACCUCCACUGAGAUAGUGUAACUCUUCCUCUGAGAGAGUUGAAACUAAAGUCAGGAUCUACCUUUCACCUUUUCAUAAUUGCGCUCGGCAACAAAUAGUUGCAGCUUGAUGUGUCCAAGUGUGUAUCUUUAAAAUAUAGAAACCUAGCAUUGGGAAAUUUUUGACCAACUGGGUAAGUCACAGAAUUAACGCAAAAAGGAAGCUUGAGAAUAUCAAAGCUAGCCAAUAAUUUCUAAUUUGGUUGAAUACUUAACACUUACAAUAACUGUCCUAUUUUCAAACAGUUUCAGGUGGCAAUUUCACAUCUCCCUUUCAAGCCCAUUUUUAUGAUUAAGGCAAUAGGGAAGUUCUUUGUAUCUAACUCCUAAUGCUUUUCCUGCAAUUAAUGUUUUUGAGAAUUUACAUUUCUAGAAUUAAAACUUUUUCAAAGAAAUAUUCCCAUGACAGUCCUGUCCUGUAAGGUACGUCUAUUUUACAGAUGAGGAAACAGUGCCAUGGAUGUGAAAUAACUUUCCAAAGUAUUAAGAUACAAUCUGUGAUGGACUCAGACUGGAUAUCUUGCCUCUUAGUCAAAUGCUAUCUACUUCGUCAACUUUCAUAAUAGAAAAAAAUGUUUCCUUUCAAAAUACUAGUGCAUGUAAAACAAAUUCAGCUCAGUGGCUAAACAUUUUCUGGAUGCUUAUCACUGUGUGUCAAGCAGCAUGAUUACCAAUUAACAUGUAACGUGGGGCUUAAAAGCAGAUCUAUGCUUUUGCCUAGUCUACUGAAAAUGCUAUUAUCCCUGCAUUAAACCAGACAAAUCUAGUCUCUUUGUGAAGCCUAUUUACUUGCUCCUUAAUAUUUUAUACUUGUCUAAAUCAGGGUCUGUCAAAUGACAGCUGGUGAGCCAAAUGCAACCCACUGCCUCAUUUUAGUCAGUAAAAUUUCGUUAGAGCACAGCUACACCCAUUCCUUUACCAACUGCCCAUGGCUACUUUUGUGGUGCAAUGACAGAAUGAAGCAGUUGUGAGGGGUGACACUUGGCCCACAAAGCUGAAAAUAUUUACUUCUGGCUCUUUACAGAAAGUUUGCCAACCCUUGUUCUAAAUGAAGACAGAUGGAUUUUAUGAAGACUUAUAACCAGAAAGGGAACAGAAAUUCUUUAUAAUUUUCAAUAUAUUUUUAUGCAUACUCUCCCUAGGAAUCCUCUUGAAUUGGGUUCAUUUAAGUUAAAUUUUAAAAUGCAACCCCUAGGACUAGCACCAGGCUGGGGGAAAUUUUAGGGCAGAGAUCUUUUGAAUCAGGCAGAAUGAGGAGAUUAGGAGGUAAGUGAUUUUUAAAAGAAUAUAGGAAAGGAAGGCGCAAAGAUAUGUGGCAACAUGUCUGGAAUUAUUGCUUGUAAAAUUAGGCUGCAAAACCUCAAGUAAGCUACACAGGGCAAGUUUCGUUAAAUAUAAAAUUUUAAUCUACAUUACAUCUUGUUUAUCUCUACAGCCAAUCCCUUAUCUUGCCCCUCUCACCAAGUAGGUAGUUAAGGAGAAAGAAACUGAAGCAGAUAGGUGUAAAUGUCUCCUUCAUUUCCAUCAUCAUUAAGACAAAAAGUCAAAGAAUCAAGGUUUUGGAAAACAAGGUAAUUUGUACUUGAUGUCAAAUGCACCAAAAUGCAUCAAGCAAAUGGCAGAAUAAGACAGUUAAACUAUACAGAACACCAGUCAUUUAACUUCAAAAUCAGUAGCAACCUAGGUAUAGAUUUGAUCUAUUUUUCCGUAUCAGUAUUGCAUGAGUAACUUGUAUAUUCAUUUUGGCCCUGUUAGUUAAGCAUGUUGAACACUUAUAUGCCAGACAUUAUCAGAAGUAUACAUUUAUGCACAUUUUUAUCCAUUACCAGUUAUUCUUUACAAUAGUACUUUGUAACUAAAAGGAGCUUUUGAGAAAACUGAAGCCCACAAAAGUUAAAUGACUUGCCUAAAGUCUCUUGGCAAUCCUGUGCUGGUACUUUUGUUUUCAUGUCUGUUAUAAGUACACAGGCAAUCAGACUGAAAUGAACACAGCAUCAUCCCAAGGACCAGAGGCUAGGACUUUGAGGGGAUGGGUAGCUGACUGGAGAAUUCUCAGGAGCCAUGAAGAGCAAUCCUUAGUGAAAAAUAUUACUAUGUAAUCUCACUUCGUAACAUUGUCAUGCUACUUUUAUCAGUCAAAUUGGAAAAGAUUUUAAUGUAAGGCAAUACUCAAAAGAUUUUCACAAGACUUAUGAAAAAAUGACAUUCAUCAUAGCGUAAUUUGUAAUAAAUGUUUUCCAACAACUUAAAUGUUCAACAAUAUAUUCAGAUUAUGGAACAUAUAAUGGAGCAAUGCUCUUAACAGACUUAAUAGAGGGAAAUGCUAAAAAUGUUUUUAACACAGCAAAUAUGUGAUUCAAAAAUUUUAAGUUUAUAUAUACAGAAGAGACCAAAAUACUUACAUUAAAAUGUUUAAUGGUGGUUGGAAUCUUGGGUGAUUUUAAUGUAAUUCUUAUCCUGUUCCAUAUUUCUAAAAUGUAAUAUUCCCUUUUAACAGAAAUGGUAAUCAAUUUUUUUUCAAGAAAUUAACUCACAUUUAUUUGAUAGAGAUGAAGUGAAUAUUCAAUUAUGAGAUAGUUAAAUUAUCAUAUAUCCAUAAAAGAGAAUAUUUUGCAGCCACUGACAAUUGUUUAUGCAGAAUUCUAAUGACCUAGGAAACAGCUCAGAGGGAAAAACCAAGAUAUAAAAUUCUAUAGAAUAAUCAAAUAUGCUAAAAAUAGGAAAAAAGACUAGCAGCAAACAUUACCAAAAUGUUGGCAGGCCUCUGGAUAGUGGAUUACUAGUGAUUUUUACUUUAUACUUUUCUCUAGUUUCUAAAUUUCCAUUAAUAUUAUCAGGGGGAAACCUGAAAAUGAAAAACAUUUUUAACACAGUAUUAUAACCCAAUACAGUGCCUUGGGAACAUGCCAACUUCCAAGUACUGCAUUGCUCUUUCCUGUUUCUCCAACAAUGCUGCUUUGAAGCAUGAGAGGAAACAUGAAGUAAAAGGCAGUUUUUAUAUGGCAGUUUACUUCUGUUAGCAUUUUUAAUUUUCCCCUGGCUUCAAUAGAAGAUACAAAACAUAGACAUGUUUGGGAAGGAAGGGAGUAGAAGACAAAACAGAUUUUUAUCUGCAUGUUUUAAAUAUCGUUUCUUUCAGUGCAAGCUCUUGAGAAAACGUUUGUUGGCAUACUUGGAGUAUAUUAGGAAUCUUGAAAAGUUACUACAUAAGCCCACAAAUUCACAUUUUUUGGUGCCAAAACUACUCAGGUAGUUUUGUUGGAAAUUAGCCAAGAAAAUGGUAGCCUUAUUACAUGCUCAUAAUUACAGAAGCUUCAGGAUUUUCUUUAAACUCUUUUGUUGAUGAGUGUUUAGAAAAUGAAUAUAAUUUCAGUGGUAAAACAUAUGUGGUCUUUCCUAGGUGAAAGCAAAACCUCUGAAAUCAAAUCUACAAAGCCAUUUUCAGGCAAUCAAGAUUAAAGACAUUACUGAUUUAACUAUGUCUUUUACUUGUGAAGAUGACCAGCAGAGCUUGGUAACAAAUCAAAUAAACAAAACUGAA